ACGAACGCUGGCGGCGUGCCUAACACAUGCAAGUCGAGCGGAGACAGUGAGUAGCUUGCUAUGAGCUGUUUUAGCGGCGGACGGGUGAGUAACGCGUGAGCAACCUUUCCCAGACAGGGGAAUAACACACCGAAAGGUGUACUAAUACCGCAUAAGACCACGGAAUCACAUGGUUCUGAGGUAAAAGAUUUAUCGGUUUGGGGUGGGCUCGCGUCCGAUUAGGUAGUUGGUGAGGUAACGGCCCACCAAGCCGACGAUCGGUAGCCGACCUGAGAGGGUGAUCGGCCACAUUGGGACUGAGACACGGCCCAAACUCCUACGGGAGGCAGCAGUGGGGAAUAUUGGGCAAUGGGGGGAACCCUGACCCAGCAACGCCGCGUGGAGGAAGAAGGUUUUCGGAUCGUAAACUCCUGUCCUUGGAGACGAGUAGAAGACGGUAUCCAAGGAGGAAGCCCCGGCUAACUACGUGCCAGCAGCCGCGGUAAUACGUAGGGGGCAAGCGUUGUCCGGAAUAAUUGGGCGUAAAGGGCGCGUAGGCGGCUCGGUAAGUCUGGAGUGAAAGUCCUGCUUUUAAGGUGGGAAUUGCUUUGGAUACUGUCGGGCUUGAGUGCAGGAGAGGUUAGUGGAAUUCCCAGUGUAGCGGUGAAAUGCGUAGAGAUUGGGAGGAACACCAGUGGCGAAGGCGACUAACUGGACUGUAACUGACGCUGAGGCGCGAAAGUGUGGGGAGCAAACAGGAUUAGAUACCCUGGUAGUCCACACUGUAAACGAUGAAUGCUAGGUGUAGGGGGUAUCGACCCCUUCUGUGCCGCAGUCAACACAAUAAGCAUUCCGCCUGGGGAGUACGGCCGCAAGGUUGAAACUCAAAGGAAUUGACGGGGGCCCGCACAAGCAGCGGAGCAUGUGGUUUAAUUCGACGCAACGCGAAGAACCUUACCAGGUCUUGACAUCCACUUAAACUUACAGAGAUGUAAGGUGUGCUUGCACAAAGUGAGACAGGUGGUGCAUGGUUGUCGUCAGCUCGUGUCGUGAGAUGUUGGGUUAAGUCCCGCAACGAGCGCAACCCUUGUCGUCAGUUGCCAGCAUUGAGUUGGGGACUCUGGCGAGACUGCCUCUGCAAGGAGGAGGAAGGCGGGGAUGACGUCAAAUCAUCAUGCCCCUUAUGAUUUGGGCUACACACGUGCUACAAUGGCGUAAACAAAGGGAAGCGAACCUGUGAGGGUGGGCAAAUCUCAAAAAUAACGUCCCAGUUCGGACUGCAGUCUGCAACUCGACUGCACGAAGCUGGAAUCGCUAGUAAUCGCGGAUCAGCAUGCCGCGGUGAAUACGUUCCCGGGCCUUGUACACACCGCCCGUCACACCAUGGGAGUUGGGAGUGCCCAAAGCCGGUGAGGCAACCGCAAGGAGCCAGCCGUCUAAGGCAAGACCAAUGACUGGGGUG
rnacentral:rRNA from 1 species